UACGUAGGGUGCAAGCGUUAAUCGGAAUUACUGGGCGUAAAGCGUGCGCAGGCGGUUUUGUAAGUCAGAUGUGAAAUCCCCGGGCUUAACCUGGGAACUGCAUUUGUGACUGCAUGGCUAGAGUGCGGCAGAGGGGGAUGGAAUUCCGCGUGUAGCAGUGAAAUGCGUAGAUAUGCGGAGGAACACCGAUGGCGAAGGCAAUCCCCUGGGCCUGCACUGACGCUCAUGCACGAAAGCGUGGGGAGCAAACAGG
rnacentral:rRNA from 1 species